AACGGGUGAGUACACGUGGGUGAUCUGCCCUGCACUUUGGGAUAAGCCUGGGAAACUGGGUCUAAUACCGAAUAGGACCACGCGCUUCAUGGUGUGUGGUGGAAAGCUUUUGCGGUGUGGGAUGNGNNNGCGGCCUAUCAGCUUGCUGGUGGGGUAAUGGCCUACCAAGGCGACGACGGGUAGCCGGCCUGAGAGGGUGACCGGCCACACUGGGACUGAGAUACGGCCCAGACUCCUACGGGAGGCAGCAGUGGGGAAUAUUGCACAAUGGGCGCAAGCCUGAUGCAGCGACGCCGCGUGAGGGAUGACGGCCUUCGGGUUGUAAACCUCUUUCAAUAGGGACGAAGCGCAAGUGACGGUACCUAUAGAAGAAGCACCGGCCAACUACGUGCCAGCAGCCGCGGUAAUACGUAGGGUGCGAGCGUUGUCCGGAAUUACUGGGCGUAAAGAGCUCGUAGGUGGUUUGUCGCGUUGUUCGUGAAAACUCACAGCUUAACUGUGGGCGUGCGGGCGAUACGGGCAGACUAGAGUACUGCAGGGGAGACUGGAAUUCCUGGUGUAGCGGUGGAAUGCGCAGAUAUCAGGAGGAACACCGGUGGCGAAGGCGGGUCUCUGGGCAGUAACUGACGCUGAGGAGCGAAAGCGUGGGGAGCGAACAGGAUUAGAUACCCUGGUAGUCCACGCCGUANACGGUGGGUACUAGGUGUGGGUUCCUUCCUNNGGAUCCGUGCCGUAGCUAACGCAUUAAGUACCCCGCCUGGGGAGUACGGCCGCAAGGCUAAAACUCNAAGGAAUUGACGGGGNNNCGCACAAGCGGCGGAGCAUGUGGAUUAA
rnacentral:rRNA from 1 species